rnacentral:lncRNA from 1 species
GAUAGUUUAAGAGUUGUUGAAUGACUAUGUGUUUUAUGGGCACAAUCUCACUUAAUCCGCACAACUAGUUCAUCCUGUAGACAAGGAAACAAAGGCAUAAAGAGGCUUAGUCACCUGUCCAACAUGAAGAAACAUUGCCGGGAAGUCAGGCAAUCAACUUCACAAUUCAAAAUCUUGGUCAUGCAGGAGGAGCCAGAGGGAAAGAAAUAGCUGGGCGGUUAGAAAUGUGGCUUCAGCAAGACCACGGCGUUUGCUCUGGGCAUUGAAUGACAAGAUGAUUUGAAAUACGCAGAGAAGCUGGAGGCUGCUUAAGGAAAAGUAUGAGCCAAGUUUCCAAAUCUGGAAAGCACAGCCGGUCAUCGGCUCUUCCCAGAGCCUGGCCAAUGCUUCGCUGAGAAGGCCUCGCAGCAGCCCCCGAGGAUGAAGGAGGUGGGGGUCCUUGUGCUACUACUGUGACCUCUAGAAGAGAGAGGGCCAGGGCCCACCCACUACCCCCCAGCCCACCGCAGCCAGAUCCUGCGAAACUCCAGGCCUGGGCUGCCUUCAUCUUUAUAAUGAAGCUUAAUUUAUACUCUGGAGCAGAGUGCUGUGUAAUGACAUACAUGGCCAUACGCUCGGGAAGGAGUGGCAGGUUAAAGACUCAAUUUCCUGGCCUCUCCAGCUUUGCGUCACCCUGCUUAAUGAUAUUUCAACAUUGAAAGUAUCCCAGUUGCGUCUUCUGAAGCUGAGUCUCCUGUUUUAUGGUGAGUACUCGUGCAAAGUUCUAGGGGAGAGGAAGGGGUGUGAGUGACAGGACGCAAAGCAGGAAAACACUGUUCCCCCAAUCUAUGUGGUCAGGAGCCAAAGAAACUAACUGGAGUUGAAAGGACUGUCAUGUGGUUAAUCUGCAAAGAAAGAGAAAGGGAGGAGGCAUGGGGAGCGAUGUGGCAAAGUGUUUUCAGCCUGCUGGGAGAAGAAAGCAAAGGGAACAUGAGAAUGGAAUCACCCUAUUUAACAAGGUAGAGGUGAGGGCACCAUCCUUCUGGAGGCCAUUGGAUUAAAAUGGCCAGGGACAAACUAUUCACCGCCACCUGAAGGCCAAGUAAAUUUUCCUUUGCUAAGAAAGAGUAAGAAGCAAAGUCCAAGACCCAGCCUGACGCUGGAGCAGAACAGUCCCCGAUCACACUGUCAUGCUCUCCCUGCUCCUGCCCUAAUGGAACUUCCUCUGUAACCACAACAGCAAGACCCAAGCUGUUCGGCUCCAGCGUCUGGGGCCAGAACAAAGUGUCUGGGCCUGGAACGAAGAGUCUAGACUCUGCUCUGCAUUCUAUUUUAUUUACUUUAGGUUUUCCCCCUUAGAACUGGGUGCAUGUGACAUACAGCCAGAGAGCCUGAGAACUCUGCCACAGCCCAGAGUAGCAUUUGGAGUACCCUUUCAUUUCUUUCCCUGUGUUUCAAGGGACAAGAAGUGGCAGCUAGUUAUUAAAGAGCCACCCCACCCAGAGAUUAAUUCAAGACUGCUUGUGGGGGUGAAGUCAUAGUGAGAAUUACCACUAGUUAUCUUCCUAAAGACUGAGAAAGUCCUAUUUUUCUGAAGGUCGGACACAGGUUUUGGUAUCCACAGUUGUAUAACAUGGAUCUAUAACUCUGUGUGCGUGUCUGUGUGUGGAGAGAGAGAGAAAGGAUGAGGAGAUGAAGAAAGGAGAAAAGAGAGGAGGAGGGGGGGUUGGAAGAUAAAAGGACAGGAGGAAAAAGAUUUUUACCCCAGAGAAGGAGAGAGAGGGGAAGAGGUUCAAAGGCUGAGAAAAAAGACAGGUAAGAACGGGAGUAAUCAGGACAAAGAGAGAAAGAGGUGAAAAUGGAAGAGCGGGGAGGCAGCAAUUGUUCAUGUUGCAAAGGAGAGAGUUUCCUGUCCUGCACUUUUAACCCUAAGGUCUUAAUAAAUGAGAAAAAGGAGCUGCUUCACAUGAAAAAUCGAGGUUCAUCCAAAUGUGCAGUGCUCAUCUGACUCGCUCAUCACCAUGCAGUGGGGCUGCAUGGAUGAAGCUAAUUUGUGCCGGGCCUAUUUGGAAGCUGGUGUUCCCGUCAUGAAGACUCAGAGGUAGGGCACUCAACUGAGUGAACUCUAGGUAGGAAAGAACAGUGACCACAGAAACGUAGUGUCUCUCUGAAGCUGGAAAUUUGAUCCCAGGUGAAAGCAACCCAGCAGCUGACUACUCAAUGUCUACUGUGUAGUUCCAAGGUUUAGUUCAACUGACUGCAGAUCACCGAAACCUCAGCUAGACCCUGGUUCAAGGCUUUUGGUGGUAGAAGAAGUUAUGUGUGCAGGCUUCACUGUCAGAGAGACUUAGGCUUUGCUCUCCGCUCUUAUGCUCUCUAGCAGAGCCAUCUUGGAUGAAUUGCUGAACUUCACACCAUAAUCUGGAUGUGAUAAUGUUUACUAUACAGACUUCAGGUAAGGAUUUAAUUGAGAUCAUAGACAGAAAGCACUAAGUAAGCAUUCCCUAACCCAUGCUAAUGCACAAAACUUGUUGGUUACUAUGAUUACAAAAGCUGCCACAACAUCUCUCUUGAAGCUUAUAGUGUAAGGGGAAAAGGGGUGCCGGGCACAAAGUUCCUCUAAACAGAGUUGAGCAAUGCUUUUAAGAACUGUUGGAAAUAGAUUUUACUAUCCCCAUUCUUCCCAUGAGGACAUGAAAACCCCUAAAACCUAAAGUUUUGCUCAAGGCCACAUAGCUAAUCAUAGGGCCUGGAUGAAAAUCUGUGUCCGCUGGAACUGUCUCCCAUUAAAGGCCAUGAACUUUCCAUAACAUCAGCAGCCACUUCUGACUUCUCACUCUUCCACGGAGAGGCUGGACACUGGGGAACAUGUUGUUUCAACUAAUUUUACCUUUGUUAUCACAUUCAGUAAGUGGUAUUUAUGUUGGCUGUCCUUUAUGUCUCAUUUGAUUAGGCUUCAGGAGAACAAAUGAUAUAGUAGUCACAAGAAGACUUGAUAAAACAGGAUAUUCCUAUCUCAAUUUUUUUUUCUGGCUUUCUCUUGAUUUGAGGAGCCCAUAGGAAGAACAAAUAAAACCAAAGCAUGAGUGGGUAAAAGAAUGCCCAUCAGUAAAGCAGCAAACGAGCUUUGAGCUCUUUGGAGAAUUCCAUUAAUAAAAGUACUUUUGCACUUGCCACUGUUGACAGAGAUGGAGGACUUGGGUCUCCUAACACCGUCAAGCUGCACCUUUGUGUAACACAUCUAAUCCACUACAGAGGGACAACUUUCAACUGAUGCCUACAGUUUUUCCUUCUCUGAAGCUUAGUGACAUUCAUCGUUUUCUUCUCACAUUUUCUUUUAAAUGCCCCAGUGCAUGACUACCUUUUCAAGGGUUUGUCCCUUUUCAGUAAGAGAGAAAUCAACUAUAGCAGACACUGGGAGGCAGGGUCCACAGCUCUCCCAAGAAUGACAAUAAUGUGAUGGUUUAGGCAUCUGACCCUUACUCAUUGCUCUCUCCAACUCUGUUCCAUUUUGAUAUUAAUUAAAAACAGUUUUAAUCUAAAACCCGUCUAUCAAAAGAAGAACUGCUUGAAGCAAUAUAUGCCUCCUGAAGUCAAUGUCAUGUGACUUUACUCCACUUGAAUUACCUGAAGCAAGACAGUAGUAGUAAUAGCUAUCAUAGUCCAGCUACCAUUUCUUUUCUUUUUUUUUUUUUUUUUUUUUUUUUUGAGAUGGAAUUUUGCUCUUGUUGCCCAGGCUGGAGUGCAAUGGCAUGAUCUUGGCUCACCACAACCUCCGCCUCCCAGAUUCAAGGAAUUCUCCUGCCUCAGCCUCCCCAGUAGCUGGGAUUACAGGCAUGCACCACCAUGCCCGGCUAAUUUUGUAUUUUUAGUAGAGACGGGGUUUCUCCACGUUGGUCAGGCUGGCCCAGCUACCAUUUCUUAAGAACUUGUGAUGCGUCAACCACUGCACCAAAGGCUUUAUGUAUUAAUACAACAUUGCAUACAGUUCUCACAACGGUCCUGUCGUUUGGGUAGACUGUCAGUCAUCUUUAUUUCCAGAUUAGGACAUUGAAGGAAAUGGAGGUUUAAAUGUUAAAGUUAGGAUUAAGGUUAGGAAAUUAAAAUAACUUGCCCAAAUUCACACAGCUAGAAAAUGAUAGAGUUAGAUUCCAAUUUCACGUCUGUUGGGUUCAACAACUUGGAUUAAAAAAUAAUAAUAAUUUAUUGAGAUAAAACUUAACAUAACAUAAAAUUAACCAUUUUAAAGUGAUCAAGCAGCUUCUCCUCAUUCCUCCCAAAUCCAGGCAACCAUUAAUCUACUUUUUGUCCCUAUGGAUUUAUCUAUUCUGGCUACUCCUUAUAAAUAGCAUCAUAUAUAAUUUGUGACUUUUUGUGUCUGGCUUCUUUCACUUAACAUAAUAUUUUUGAGAUUCAUCCAUAUUGUGCAUAUCAGUACUAAGCGCCUGGACUUUUAACCUCCACACAGUGAUCGAAUGAGGGAAUUCUUCAGGUCCAGCCAAACUAAAGGGCAGUUCAACUUGUGUUCCUCCCACUGUAUGCCAUACUUUUCUGGUAGCUUCCAGAUCUACACUGAAGACUAUGCUACCAGUUUAGAAUGAAGAGUAUUUAACCUUUUGCAUAAAAUAUCUUCAAGAAUUUAGGUUGGUAAAAUGGUAUUACCUGGCAACUUUUUCACACUUGCUAGGAUGAAGACAUAGACUGCAACGGGACAAAUAAAGUGAUGUCAAGAUCUCAGAGAAAGCUAAAUUCCCAUGAGCCAUUUGAAAUCUGUUCUUGCAACCCUGUGCAAUAAUAAUAAUAGCAGGGACAUCCCUCUCUGAAUAAGGUUUGCAUGAAGAAAACAAAGGGCUCAAAAAACACAUUUGUUUCAAAAAGUAGAAAAUGACAGAAUUAUUUAUAUCGAAGGUCCAAAGAAAAUGACUAAUCUGAUCUUUCAUCUAAAAAAUUAUGAGCAAGGUAAGUCACAUGUUCUUAAAUUUUUUGGCAAACUAACAUCUAUGUUCCCAUCUGUUUUUAAAUACGUACAAGCUGUGUGAACUUCAGAACUCUUAAGGUCUCAGAGCCUCAGUCUACACAUUUCUAAAACGAAGUCAGCAAUACCUAUUGAAGGGUGGUUUGGGCACUGAGUAAUAUUAUAUAGAUAUCAAUCAAUAUUAGUAAUAAUCUAAGAAAUGUAUGUAAAAAUAACAAGAUAAAAUUUCGCUUAUAAAAUUAGCAAAUAAUGUGGGAAUUUUGUUUGAUUUUAAGAGGUUGGUGGCUGAUAGGAGUGUAAAUUGGUGCAAUCCUUCUGGAGGAAAAAUUUGUCAACUAAAUAUCAAGACUUUUAAGUGUUCGCAUACUUGGAUGGAGAAAUCCCACUUUAAAAAUUUUUUCCUAUGGACAUAAUUAGGAAUGUUCACAAUUUUCAUAGGCAAAGAUCCAUAUAGAUUUUUAAGUCUGCUCAAUACUGUUAAGAGCUCUUGACUUCCUACAUGGCAUUCUAACCUACAGCCCAUAAAAAUUCUUUGCAUGGGAUCCCAACUUUGGUUUAACUUAAAUUUUCUGUCUGCUCAUUGCUUCCAAGGGUUACCUCUGUUAGGACUAGGUGUUCAGCUUCUCAUUAUUUCAUGUACUGUCCUGCACACCUAUCUUCAACCUCUCUCUUCCAGAUAAAAAGGUCAAAUAGUUAUCAUGCUGAAAAAUAUUAGAAAGAUUUAUCCAAAAGUUGGGCACUGGUUAAAUAAAUUAUAGGGAAAUUGUACAGUAAUUUCAAGUUAUAAUUUAACUUUUGGCUUUGAGUAUAUAUAUUGCCUUCACACUCUCCUGAAACCCCACUGAAAUAAAAGUAUAAAAAUUAAACAAAAAAACUUCAUAUGAAUGAAAAGAAUGGAAGGGAUCAUCACUAAUGAAUGGGAUAUUUCCAACAAAUUUACAGCCCACAUGGAUGAGAUCAUGUUGAUGGAUAAAAGAGAUAGAGAAAGCUGAAGCCUAAAAUAUUGUAGAAGGAGAAUAAGAGCAAGCGGAUGCCAGUUGGUCUGUUUUGCCUCCCAAGAGCCUUUGAUCUUAAAGUCAGUGAUUAUGAGAGACACAGAACAGGGACUAGAAAUAGGACUAAGAAGAAGGAUUGAAUGUCUGAAUAUAGAACAAGGGUCCAGUUUGGAUCUGCAAUAACAUUUAAACAAGCUUUGUAAAAGUAGAGUACAAGCAGCUAGCAUUUAGCUAGCAUCAACCAUUUCUUUAAAAAGAAGCUCAAGAAAGCUAUAAAGGGAAAGUUAAAAAUUUUUAAUAUGGAUUUUUGUGCCCCAGUGCAAAGCCCUCGAUACUCCAACAUUUGAGGGGCCCAUAGCCUGUCUAUGGCUCUGAAUCCAUGUCGUAAAGACUGUCAGUGAAACUACCUUGACCCACACUUCCAAGCAUUCUCAUUCAGAGUAGAUCCAGUAAAAGUGGAAAACAUCCUCAACAACAAAGAAAAAUCAAUGCCAGGCAUCCAGAUCUUUUUUCUAUAAAAGAUUGAUCAACCAGGGAUGACUAGAAAUAUGAGAACCAAAUAAAAGAUGUUAAAAGUGGAAACAAUGAAGAUAACUCAAAACAGAACAAGAACAGAAUGCUAUGCAAAAAAAAAAUGCAAUUUAAACAAGAUUUAGCACUUACAUUUUCCAGUAUUAUUGUUAAAAUUAGGAAUUUAGAAAAUAAAGUAAAAGAUGCUCCCAAGGAUUUAGGGACAAAAAUAUAGCUUGUCUAAAAAAUGUGAGAAAGAAGCUAAGAGUUCUCAUAAAGCAGACAAGAACCCCAGGAAAAAAGAGGCAAAAAGAGUAGAAGAGGAUAAAUUUUUCUUUUCUUUUCUUUUCUUUUUUUUUUUUGAGGAGAAAUUUUUCAACAAAGAAUAUGAGGAAUAGAGAAGAGAGCAUUUUUUCAGAUUAAAAGAGUCAACUGAGAAUCCAACAGUAUAGAUGGAAAAAAGAUUUACAUCUUGACAUCACAUAAAAUUUCAGAAUAUCAGCAUUAAAAAUAUCUGAGAAACUUCCUGGAAAUGGAGGAGGGGUGAACAAUUCAAGACCUAAGCACUAGGACAGGAGGGUGGAAACUAGUCUUUUUUUUUUUUUUAAAGAAUAAAAUUAGACUGCACCAAACUCCUCACUAGUGUCUACUAAAAACUACAAGUAGAGCUUGUUUUCAACUUUUUGUUUUUUUUAAGACACAGGGUUUCGUGCUGUCUGCCAGGCUGGAGUGCAAAGGCACUAUCAUAGCUCACUGCGGCCUCGAGCUCCUGGGCUCACGGGAUCUUGUCACUUUAGCUUCAAAAGUAGGUAGGACUUCAGGAGUGUACCACCACAGCAGGCUAAUUUAAAAAAAAAUCUAGAGAUGGGGACUGGCUAUGUUGCCCAGGCUGGUCUCAAACUCCUGGCCUCAUCGUCCUACCUCAGCCUCCCAAGUAGCUAAGAAUACAGGAGCAUCCAUGUCCACCUUUCAACUUUCUCAAGGGACAUACUGUUAAACCUAGAAUGGUAUGGCCAGUUAAAUGAUUAAUCAAAUAUGAAGUUAUUUGCAAACUCUCAAAGACUAAGUAAGUGUACUGAAAUAAGUUUCUUGAGUAUGACUGCAGUAAAAUAUAGAAGCCAAUGGACAAGAAAGAAAGAAAGAAAGAGAGAAAGAGAAAGAAAGAAAGAAAGAAAGAAAGAAAGAAAGAAAGAAAGAAAGAAAGAAAGAAAGGAAAGAAAGAAAGAAAGAAAGAAAAAAAUUUUGAUACACAAUAAGGACCUGCUAAGGAGCAUAGGGAAAGAAGGUCCCAGGAUGACAGCUCAGACCUGGAGAGCCAAUAAAAGCAGAGAUGGAGAAGGAGGACAGAGGCCUUCAAAAGGAAAGUCUAAGAAGACAAAAAGCCUUAAUUGUGUAACUUCUGUAACUGAAAAGUUGGAAAAAUAUAAUAAUAAGUUACAUCAUACAAGAAAAAAUAAUAAUUAGAUACUCUAUGAAAAAAAGUGCAUGGAAAAAUCAAGAUCCAAAUAGGUAGCAAAUCCAAAAUAUGGCAAGAUUUUAAGUAAUUGAUGGAAUAUCUGCAAAGAAAAUUCAUUUGACCUUGAUGCUAAGAACAUUCAUUUGAGUAGCACAUAUAACCUUGUGCAUUCUCUUCAACAGCUCUUAGCAUUAAAUUGUCUAUUUAGAUGCCUGUAUCCCCUAUGGGGGCAGGAAUAAUGUCAAUUGUGUUUGCUAAUGGGCCUUCAAUGCUUUUCAUGGUCGCUAUAAAAUGAAAAUAUCAAUGGCAAGCAUUCUUUCUUAGAUAUUCGCUAUGACUGUGGACUAUGGCUUUUUGUUUCAUUAUUUCAUUGGACUUUUCAAUUUAUAUAAGGAAGAAAUUAUUAUAGCUCUCAUUUUACAGAUCAGAAAACUGAGGCUCUUUAAAGGGUUAAUUAAUUUGUCUAAGAUUAUCCAACUAAGUGAUAGAACCAGUACAAGAGCUUAUAUCAGGCUGGGUGUGGUGGCUCAUGCCUGUAAUCCCAGCACUUUAGGAAGCCAAGGGAGGCAGAUUGCCUGAGCUCAGGAGUUCGAGACCAGCCUGGGCGACAUGGUAAAAUCCUGUCUCUACUAAAAUACAAAAAAUUAGCGG